rnacentral:rRNA from 1 species
UACGUAGGGGGCAAGCGUUGUCCGGAAUCAUUGGGCGUAAAGAGCGUGUAGGCGGCCUGGUAAGUCCGCUGUGAAAGUCCAGGGCUCAACCCUGGAAUGCCGGUGGAAAACUGUCAGGCUCGAGUCCGGAAGAGGCGAGUGGAAUUCCUGGUGUAGCGGUGAAAUGCGCAGAUAUCAGGAGGAACACCAAUGGCGAAGGCAGCUCGCUGGGACGGUACUGACGCUGAGACGCGAAAGCGUGGGGAGCAAACAGG